GCUCUAAGAGCAUUUAUAUCCCUGUGAGUUGAACACUUCAUGACUGAGAGCUGUCCUUCAUGACAACAGAACCCACAACAACCAUGACUUUUAUCACCAUCUUCAUCUGGACACUUGUCUUCUACAUCAGCGAAUCAAGAGGACAGAUCACUGUGACUCAGACUCCUACAAUGAAAGCUGUUCUCUCAGGACAGCCAGUCUCUCUGAACUGUAGACUCAGUAGUAAUGUGUAUGGUAAUUGUUACAAUGGUCAGUCAUGGGGCCAUCAGUGUCUAUCCUGGUACCAACAGAAACCAGGAGAAAAACCCAAACUCAUGAUGCUUCCAGGGAACACACUCCAUUCUGGGACUCCAUCUAGAUUCAGUGGCAGUGGAUCUGGGAGUGACUUCACUCUGACCAUCAGUGGAGUCCAGGCUGAAGAUGCAGGAGAUUACUACUGUCAGAGUUUACACUACCCCAACAGUGUCUGGGUGUUCACACAGUGAUACAGAGCCGUACAAAAACCUCCCUCAGUCAGACUGCACAGUGACUGUACUGAUACAGCUGGGACCUACUGCAGGUGCUGAGGGGAGGAGAGGAUCCAGUAUAAUGACACAGUGUGUAGUAGAGCUGAACAACAAUAGAGUCAAACUAGAGCUACUGUAUGUCUAGAAGACUUUAGAUCAUAACUGAUCACUAAAUGUUUCUCCUGACCAUUAACUACAUGUUGACUCUGCUGAGUAACUCAAGGAAAACCAUCAACCAAACUCAAAUCAAACAGAGAUGAUGUGCAAUGAUCCAAACCCCCAAAGAUGACCUGUGUUUUGAAUAGCUCAAAUUGAAUCAACAUGAUUCAAACACAUACAAUAAAGCCUACAAACACUCCUGGACAGUGAGAGUCAAGAUGCUGCUCGAGCUGCAGGAUGGUCAGGAUGGGGGAACUGUUACCUGGAAGAAACACAUCAACUACAUCAAAACAAAGCACUUUGGAAAUGACAUCUUUAACUGUAAAUUAAUAUAAAAAUUUGAUUGCUAAAAGAUGUGAAGAAAACUCAAACAGUAAUAUGAUAUAAAGCAGAUUACAAGUAUAAAGUACACAAGCAAGAACGAUACAAGUAUGACGUGUUUAACUUUAGCAUUACUUUGUCAUACAGAUAUAUUUUUAGGAACGUAUCUGAUCAGAAUACUCAUAUUUAUAGUAUUUGCAGAAUCCAAGUGAUUUGAUACAAACAUAACGGAAACCCUUUAUUUUCACAUUAACAAUGUGGCUAUCAUAAACUCAAUGCAAUGAUGACUACAAUAACAGAUACCAUAGUUAUCUCGUUAAAUAAAGAUGUGGAACUCUA